AUUGAACGCUGGCGGCAUGCCUUACACAUGCAAGUCGAACGGCAGCACGGGAGCUUGCUCCUGGUGGCGAGUGGCGAACGGGUGAGUAAUAUAUCGGAACGUACCCUAGAGUGGGGGAUAACGCAGCGAAAGUUGCGCUAAUACCGCAUACGAUCUACGGAUGAAAGUGGGGGAUCGCAAGACCUCAUGCUCAUGGAGCGGCCGAUAUCUGAUUAGCUAGUUGGUGGGGUAAAGGGCCUACCAAGGCAUCGAUCAGUAGCUGGUCUGAGAGGACGACCAGCCACACUGGAACUGAGACACGGUCCAGACUCCUACGGGAGGCAGCAGUGGGGAAUUUUGGACAAUGGGGGGCAACCCUGAUCCAGCAAUGCCGCGUGAGUGAAGAAGGCU
rnacentral:rRNA from 1 species